GACGAACGCUGGCGGCGUGCUUAACACAUGCAAGUCGAACGGAAAGGCGCUGCGCUUGUUGGUUGCUCGAUUGGCGAACGCGUGAGUGACACACGUGUAUCCUGCCCCUGUCUGUGUGAGAACUUCAGGAGACUGCGGCGAAUAUCCCAGAGGAUCUCCUGCAGCACGUGGGUGGAUGGUAAGUGUCGGCGGUGGUGGAUGGUCUCGCGGCUUAUCAGCUUGAUGGGGUGGUAGUGGCGUACCAAGGUUUUGAAGGGUAGCCGGCAUGAGAGGGUGACCGGGCACAUUGGGACUGCGAUACGGACCAGAAUGCUACGGGAGGCAGCAGUGGGGAAUAUUGCACAAUGGGCCGAAGCCUGAUGCAGCAACGCCGCGUGCGGGAUGACGGCCUUCGGGUUGUAAACCGAUUUCGACUGUGACGAAGCGUGAGUGACGGUAAUGGGUAAAGAAGCACCGGCUAACUACGUG
rnacentral:rRNA from 1 species